GUUCUGUAAGCCUGUGAAGGUGGCCUGUGAGGGUUGCUGGAGGUAUCAGAAGUGCGAAUGCUGACAUAAGUAACGAUAAAGCGGGUGAAAAGCCCGCUCGCCGGAAGACCAAGGGUUCCUGUCCAACGUUAAUCGGGGCAGGGUGAGUCGACCCCUAAGGCGAGGCCGAAAGGCGUAGUCGAUGGGAAACAGGUUAAUAUUCCUGUACUUGGUGUUACUGCGAAGGGGGGACGGAGAAGGCUAUGUUGGCCGGGCGACGGUUGUCCCGGUUUAAGCGUGUAGGCUGGUUUUCCAGGCAAAUCCGGAAAACCAAGGCUGAGGCGUGAUGACGAGGCACUACGGUGCUGAAGCGACAAAUGCCCUGCUUCCAGGAAAAGCCUCUAAGCAUCAGGUAACAUCAAAUCGUACCCCAAACCGACACAGGUGGUCAGGUAGAGAAUACCAAGGCGCUUGAGAGAACUCGGGUGAAGGAACUAGGCAAAAUGGUGCCGUAACUUCGGGAGAAGGCACGCUGAUAUGUAGGUGAAGCGACUUGCUCGUGGAGCUGAAAUCAGUCGAAGAUACCAGCUGGCUGCAACUGUUUAUUAAAAACACAGCACUGUGCAAACACGAAAGUGGACGUAUACGGUGUGACGCCUGCCCGGUGCCGGAAG
rnacentral:rRNA from 1 species